rnacentral:lncRNA from 1 species
UUUUGUGCUUGUGUGGACUGCAAUAGAAAGAAAGAACAGGGAAAUAGAGAACACAGAGAAUGAGAUUACAAUUAGAUGUUCUACGAUUGCAACAAGGAAAGAAGAAAGAAGGCGAAUCCGAAUAAGAGAAUGAGUUUACUAGAUACAUCAGAUGGAGAAAAAAACAUCAGACGUAGCCAUGGCUGUGACUUAUGGCAUCAAGGUUGUUGUCCGAGGUAUGGCCAUAAAUCUAUUAACAUAUAAUCGAAUUUUCACCGGAUCUGAGAAGAUAACGAUCAUUUCUAUUCAUCUGUUUUGUUUUUCACAAAGGGUCGAAGCAGAGAACACGAUGAUCUGAAACAUUUUCGUUUUUUUUCAUUAGAGGGCUUGAUAUGGAAAACAUUUAGUUUUUUUCGUGUGUGCUUGUGUUUGGUUCAAGACCAGUGGGGGGACAAAGAACAACAAAGAUCUAGAUUGGUUUUUAGAUUUUAUACAUUUCGAUUUUGUGUUAGUUUCGAUUUUGUGAUAUUCAUCUUUAGGAGAUUUGGUAACAAAGAUCUGAAGACGACACGUACAAUGUUGGUUCUGUGAUGUUCAUCUUCAAUAAAGCUGGAAGAUAUUUUGUUAUGUUCAUCUUAGUCUCCUGAAUUUGAUUAUUGGGUGAGCGAUUUUUUAUUCUUAGUUUCUAGAUUUCGAUCCUUAGAUGGUUGAAAGAUUUCUUUAAUGUUGGUUUUGGAAUGAUGAUAAAUACAAAAUGAUUGGUAUCUGUACUACAUUGAUCGAUUUUAGGAUUCUUCAUUUUGUCUCCAUAUGUUGAUUUUGGGUUUGUUUUUUUAGCGGUUCUUGUGUUUUUUUUUUCUUUUGACCUGGGUUCAUGGGUGGGUGGUUGUUGGAGAUAGAUGAUGGAUAGUGGUUGUCAACGAUAGUGUAUAAUGGUUAAAAAUAAAAAAAAAUAAAUAAAACAUGUGGCUGCCAUGUCAGCACCAACCAAUUCAACUAACAAAAUAUACUAUCAACAAUAUAACAAUGUAACUUGUUUACCCCUUCACAUCUAAAUGAAUGGUGUUUUUGAUAACUCAACAAUAUAACAAUGUAACGUACAACAAAGUAUAAAGGGGCGUCUUGCACACGAACCUUUUUAGGUAGCCCUACGGUGAACCCAAGAUCAAAAAAAUCUCUAUGUUUAUCAUGUAACAAUGAGAUCUCAAAGAAAUAUUUUAUUUAUAUUUACCCUUUGAUAAAGUAUUUAAAAAUUUUAUUUUUGAUCAUGAAACCCUAACUGCUCACUAACCUUAAAGCUUAUGUAUUCAUAUAUGUAUCUCACUAAACAAAGAAUAAAGACCACUGAAAUAUCAUUAUCAUGUUUUGUUUUUAUACCAUCUUCAGCUUAUGUAAAACCUCUGGUUUAGGUUAUAAUGAAAUAAAAGUUUUGAUAUAAGUUUUUCUUUUAUUCACUUGUAUUAAAGGCAAGAAUAAGUUUCCCCCAAAAUUUGGGCAUAACAAUAAC